GGCCGGACCCAAUGCACGGGUUGGCUCGCGAACCGGGUCAGGCCUUGAUCGGAGCAGCCCUAAGUGGUGUCAGCCCGGUGCCGUUGGUGUUCUGGCCACU
rnacentral:SRP_RNA from 1 species